rnacentral:lncRNA from 10 species
GGAUUAGAGCAGAAGAAGUUGGUAAUCCAGAAACAGAAGCAGACCAAAGAAAAAAAAAGAAACCAAACACCACAAAGAAAGCCUACUCUCUCUAGCCAAAAGUCCAGAAAAGGGGCGGCCGAGUAAGACAGAAAACUUUAAGACAAUAACCACUCUACUCUAGGUUGAAAGCCUCCACAAUCAAGCUUUUAUUAAAGAACGAGUACUACCAUUGUGACCACAGAAGAUAGAAUUCGACACCAAGAGCGUGCUGGCCCUUCUCAAAGUGUCCCAUGAAAAAGUUAUUCCACACCUCCUCCCUGACCUUGUCGUGCAGACGCUUCCAGGAUGAACUCCAACUCGCCGAGCCACCGCAGCUCCUCAGCUGACUAAAAGAGUUAAUGAUCCUCCAGGUUAAAACUCCUCCUUGAGCACACACCUUCUCUCAACAAAUGACAAUACUUGGCAAACUGAACUCCUCCCACGAGUCGCCCUCUGCUAGGAGGAAUUGCUGGCUGCUCCCUGCUUAUUGCAUUCUCUCAGAGCAGCUGUCUCAAAGGAGGCUGCUCCCAUGCCGAUCUUUUUGUGCCCAACUUACAGGGAAAGAACUCAUUGCCUGCCCAGUGCCUGCCAGCCUCAGACUUCUGACUGCAAAUCCAACAGGACAAUACAGAGUUGGCAGGACCCUUCUCAGGAGUGAGGAGCGGGUGCAAGAACUCCCAGGUCACUGCUUUAUUCAGAGGACCUAAGGAAUUGGGUUGAGCGGAAGCGCACAGAGCUGCAGAUUUUCUUUGAUGAAUGAAAGCUUCAAUCCACAGGUUUCUAAUAGUACUCUCAUUCAUUUUGCUUACAAAAGGUACAGAUUAUCACUAAUCCUCUUCAAAAGGUAUUUGUAAUCACAUUUCCUUGUAUAUGCAAAAAAAAUUCUAUUUAAAGUGUAUGUGAAAUUAAGUUUACUUUUUUGAAACACAUGUAGAAAAAGAACAAAGGUAUCAUCAAACUAGUCUAUGUAGUCUCCUUUCACUAAAAUAUUGAUGGUUCAACACUUAAGGAAGUCUAGAAAUAAAAUAUUCAAAUGACUAUAUGGCCAGACUCUUUUUUAAUUUGUUUACACAUUUAUUCAAUAAACAGUGCCUGAGCACAGGGACUACCUAAAAAAGUUAAGUCAUAUUUGCUACCCUCGUGUUGAUGUAAGGAUUCAAACAUCCAAACAAAUAUGAUAGAAAGUGGAUUGUUAUUAUAAGAGAUGGAACAGAAGUCUAAGAAAACUGUCAGAAGUCCCAAUGUGGUGUAGAGAAACACACCCCUACCCUAGCUCUGGCAAAAUACCUGUAUUCCAGCUGCUUGUCUGCACUGGCCUUGCUGUGUGAUCAUUUAACUAUAGGAACCGGCUCUUCUCAUCUGGUACCGCCCGACAGGACUUUUGAGAGAAUGGAAUGAGAUCAUUGUGAAAGUACAUUGUACAGCACUGAUCAAGUGCUGUUAGGAUUAUUAAACUAAAUGUGCAUUUGAACAGUAGGUGUUAGGACAUAGUGGCUAAGGGCAUAUACACUAAAUUUGGAAGGCCUGAGUUCAAAUUUGGACUGUACUAGGUGGUCGUUGUGCUACCUUGGGAUAUAACAAGUUAUACAAACUCCAUUCUCCUCUAUUUCCUCACAUGUAACAUAAAGAUGAUGAUAAUAGAACCUACGUCCUAAAACAGACUUUUAAGAAAGAGUGCCUGGGAAAUAAUAGGUGUUCCACAAAAGAUAGUUAUUUUUACCUUCACCAUGUCCACUGUCUGUCCCUCAAGCUACAUUGGCAAUGAUAUCUCCAACCUGACCCAAAUAACCCUAAUGUGACCAAGAUCAAUGUGUGCAUGUGUGUGUGUGUAUAUGUUGUAUGUGUAAAACCUUGAGCAAAUAGUGAAGUAUAGGAUAAACAUAAAAAGUAAGCUAAGUAAACCCAUUGUAAUAGUAAUUACAAAAUAUAUAUGUACGUGUGUG